rnacentral:snRNA from 1 species
CCAAUCCAUUGAAAAUGAAUGUU